rnacentral:rRNA from 1 species
ACCGGCGAUUUCCGAAUGGGGAAACCCAGUGUGACUCGUCACACUAUCAUUAACUGAAUCCAUAGGUUAAUGAGGCGAACCGGGGGAACUGAAACAUCUAAGUACCCCGAGGAAAAGAAAUCAACCGAGAUUCCCCCAGUAGCGGCGAGCGAACGGGGAGGAGCCCAGAGCCUGAAUCAGCAUGUGUGUUAGUGGAAGCGUCUGGAAAGGCGCGCGAUACAGGGUGACAGCCCCGUACACAAAAGCGCAUGUGCUGUGAGCUCGAUGAGUAGGGCGGGACACGUGGUAUCCUGUCUGAAUAUGGGGGGACCAUCCUCCAAGGCUAAAUACUCCUGACUGACCGAUAGUGAACCAGUACCGUGAGGGAAAGGCGAAAAGAACCCCGGCGAGGGGAGUGAAAAAGAACCUGAAACCGUGUACGUACAAGCAGUGGGAGCCCCACCACUAAGCCAGUGGUGAACUCCACAUACGCAUCCUUUGCUGAGGAUACGGUUAACGGAGCGAAAGCGACGUUCAACC